rnacentral:rRNA from 1 species
GGCUCAGGAUGAACGCUGGCGGUAUGCUUAACACAUGCAAGUCGAACGAUGUUUUAGGACAUAGUGGCGGACGGGUGAGUAACGCGUAAGAAUCUACCUUCAGGUUUGGGACAACCAUUGGAAACGGUGGCUAAUACCGAAUGUGCCGAGAGGUGAAAGGCUUGCUGCCUGAAGAAGAGCUUGCGUCUGAUUAGCUAGUUGGUGGGGUAAGAGCCUACCAAGGCGACGAUCAGUAGCUGGUCUGAGAGGAUGAUCAGCCACACUGGGACUGAGACACGGCCCAGACUCCUACGGGAGGCAGCAGUGGGGAAUUUUCCGCAAUGGGCGAAAGCCUGACGGAGCAAUACCGCGUGAGGGAGGAAGGCUCUUGGGUUGUAAACCUCUUUUCUCAGGGAAGAAUAAAUGACGGUACCUGAGGAAUAAGCAUCGGCUAACUCCGUGCCAGCAGCCGCGGUAAUACGGAGGAUGCAAGCGUUAUCCGGAAUGAUUGGGCGUAAAGGGUCCGCAGGUGGUAGUGUAAGUCUGCAGUUAAAGAGUCACGCUCAACGUGAUAAAAGCAGUGGAAACUACACAACUAGAGUACGGUAGGGGCAGAAGGAAUUCCUGGUGUAGCGGUGAAAUGCGUAGAUAUCAGGAAGAACACCGGUGGCGAAAGCGUUCUGCUAGACCUGUACUGACACUGAGGGACGAAAGCUAGGGGAGCGAAUGGGAUUAGAUACCCCAGUAGUCCUAGCCGUAAACGAUGGAUACUAGGUGUGGCUUGUAUCGACCCGAGCCGUACCGUAGCUAACGCGUUAAGUAUCCCGCCUGGGGAGUACGCACGCAAGUGUGAAACUCA